GGACGAACGCUGGCGGCGUGCCUAAUACAUGCAAGUCGAGCGGACCCUUCGGGGUUAGCGGCGGACGGGUGAGUAACACGUAGGCAACCUGCCUGUAAGAYYGGGAUAACUACCGGAAACGGUAGCUAAGACCGGAUAACUAAGUGGAAUGCAUGUUCCGCUUAUGAAACACGGYGCAAGCUGUGGCUUACAGAUGGGCCUGCGGCGCAUUAGCUAGUUGGCGGGGUAAYGGCCCACCAAGGCGACGAUGCGUAGCCGACCUGAGAGGGUGAUCGGCCACACUGGGACUGAGACACGGCCCAGACUCCUACGGGAGGCAGCAGUAGGGAAUCUUCCGCAAUGGACGAAAGUCUGACGGAGCAACGCCGCGUGAGUGAUGAAGGUUUUCGGAUCGUAAAGCUCUGUUGCCAGGGAAGAACGUCUGGGGGAGUAACUGCCCCURGAAUGACGGUACCUGAGAAGAAAGCCCCGGCUAACUACGU
rnacentral:rRNA from 1 species